AGAUGAACGCUGCGGCAGGCCUAACACAUGCAAGUCGAACGGUAACAGGAAGCAGCUUGCUGUUCGCUGACGAGUGGCGGACGGGUGAGUAAUGUCUGGGAAACUGCCUGAUGAGGGGGGAUAACUACUGGAAACGGUAGCUAAUACCGCAUAACGUCGCAAAGACCAAAGAGGGGGACCUUCGGGCCUCUUGCCAUCGGAUGUGCCCAGAUGGGAUUAGCUAGUAGGUGGGGUAACGGCUCACCUAGGCGACGAUCCCUAGCUGGUCUGAGAGGAUGACCAGCCACACUGGAACUGAGACACGGUCCAGACUCCUACGGGAGGCAGCAGUGGGGAAUAUUGCACAAUGGGCGCAAGCCUGAUGCAGCCAUGCCGCGGUUAGUAUGAAGAAGGCCUUCGGGUUGUAAAGUACUUUCAGCGGGGAGGAAGGGAGUAAAGUUAAUACCUUUGCUCAUUGACGUUACCCGCAGAAGAAGCACCGGCUAACUCCGUGCCAGCAGCUGC
rnacentral:rRNA from 1 species